UACGUAGGGUGCAAGCGUUGUCCGGAAUUAUUGGGCGUAAAGAGCUCGUAGGCGGUCUGUCACGUCGGCUGUGAAAUCCCGAGGCUCAAUCUCGGGUCUGCAGUCGAUACGGGCAAACUAGAGUAUUGCAGGGGAGACUGGAAUUCCUGGUGUAGCGGUGAAAUGCGCAGAUAUCAGGAGGAACACCGGUGGCGAAGGCGGGUCUCUGGGCAAUAACUGACGCUGAGGAGCGAAAGCGUGGGGAGCGAACAGG
rnacentral:rRNA from 1 species